rnacentral:rRNA from 1 species
AUACGAAGGGUGCACGCGUUGUUCGGAUUUACUGGGCGUAAAGCGUCCGUAGGUGGUUUGUUAAGUCAGGGGUGAAAUCCCGGGGCCUAACCCCGGAACUGCCUUUGAUACUGGCAGGCUGGAGCGCGAUAGAGGAAGAUGGAAUAUCUGGUGUAGGGGUGAAAUCCGUAGAUAUCAGAUAGAACACCAAUGGCGAAGGCAGUCUUCUGGAUCGUUGCUGACACUGAGGGACGAAAGCGUGGGUAGCAAACAGAAUUAGAUACUCUGGUAGUCCACGCCCUAAACGAUGCAUGCUUGUUGUUGGUUUCCUUCGGGGAAUCAGUGACGAAGCUAACGCGUUAAGCAUGCCGCCUGGGGACUACGAUCGCAAGAUUAAAACUUAAAGGAAUUGACGGGG